UACGAAGGGGGCUAGCGUUGCUCGGAAUCACUGGGCGUAAAGCGCACGUAGGCGGCUUUCUAAGUCAGGGGUGAAAUCCCAGAGCUCAACUCUGGAACUGCCUUUGAUACUGGGUAUCUUGAGUAUGGAAGAGGUAAGUGGAAUUGCGAGUGUAGAGGUGAAAUUCGUAGAUAUUCGCAGGAACACCAGUGGCGAAGGCGGCUUACUGGUCCAUAACUGACGCUGAGGUGCGAAAGCGUGGGGAGCAAACAGG
rnacentral:rRNA from 1 species